CUACGCUAUGCCGUCCCUGGCCUAUAAUGAUACCAGCUUUACUCAAAAUAUGAUUCACGAGAAAGACGUAGUGGUCGUCUUAUGAAUGACGUAUUUAUGGUUAGAAUGAAAAGGAUUAGCACUGUGCCAUAUAUUCAGAUAUCUGUGAACAAUCUGGAAUGUUGCCCAUUGAUUCCUGACCGUGAUUCGUGUGGUUUAUUGGAAUCAAUUAAUAUAUUUGUAGCAUUUGCAGGUUCUCAAAUAAGACUAGAAUGUACCACAAAGUCACCAAUAACCACAUCGCCACCAACAACAACUGAAGAACCACCUUAUGAUAGUUCUGGUCGAUUGCUUGGUAUAACAAUUGGAUCUAUUCUGGCUGUUCUGGUUGUGGUAGCUGUAGUUAUUACAAUUGUUUGCUUGGUGAAAAUACGAAGGAAAAGGCCCCUACAACCACAAGAUAGGCCACAUAAUUAUGUAAAUGUAGCUGUAACACCCAAAAGCAACGCCAAUGGUCACAACAACCAAAACACGAACCCUGGUAAUCAGAGAAUGAUCUAUUUAGAAAAUGAUCUUUAUAAAAAUAUUGAUGACGAGGAGCCGGUAGGAAGAACGGGAAGUAACCACGCAGGCAUGAUAUAUCUUAAAAAUGAUCUUUAUAUUUCAAGCAAUGAAACUAAUUAUGUUCAUAAAGAUGCAGAUAACUCAGUUGCUCAUCAACCUGUUGAAUAUGCUGUGGUUAAUAAAACCGCCAAGAAAAGUAGUUCUGGUAAGGACGCGUCAACGGGUCACACAGUUGGACCACGUGGUGACGAAUACACACUUUUACAAAAGAAAUAGUUGUAGAACGCCUAAUUAAACAUGCAUUAGGCAAGAGCUAAAUCUACCUAUUGCAGGUAUUUCUUUAGGCCUGGAAUGUUAUCUAAAUUAUUAAUUAUAUAUUAAUUAACUUAUCCAGACCAUAAUCAAUACUCGGUAUCAACGCUAGCCUGCGAUAUUUAUCGGAUUAGGGUCCGAUUUGCUGUUCAACUUUGAUUCAUAAUUUAAUCGUGAAAUGGAUAAUCGAGACUAUGUUUUUAUCGGACCGAGACUUUGGUAAUGAUGAUCGAGGCUAGGCCGAAAAAUCAAUCGCUAAAAUCUCGGUUCAGAGUGGAUCAAUUUUACUGAAAUUUCCGUAUCUUUAAGCAAAUAACUUACAAAUGAAAAAUGAUAGACAGUAUAUAUGUUCAAACCAAUUGAUCUUGGGUCUUGCAGGCACAAACAAACUUCACCACAUCAAACUAGACUUAGGAGGGAUGAAGUUGUUUUGUGUCGCACUCGCAUUGGUCAUACUAUUUAACUCACAUUUCCAUCUUGAAGCGAGAGCCUCAACCGGAAUGUGAACACUGUCAUGUUCCUUUCAAAGUUAAGCACAUUUUGAGUAUCUCAAAAAUAUUAAUUCCAAAUACUUCCGUUGCAAGUCAUUACAGGAUUUAUCUGCACAACCGGGUAUACAUUGUGAAGCGUUGGACGUUUUUAAAGCGACACAUUUUCAUAGAAAAGUUUAAUUUGAAUAUAUAUACUUGUCUUUUCAAUUUUUUUUAUAUUUUAAAUAUUUAAUUUUAAUUACGUUAACUGUAAUACUUGCUUAUACCUGUUUUUAUAUAUAUAUAAUAAUAGUUAUUUAUUUCAUAUCGUAGAUAUCACGAG